rnacentral:snRNA from 1 species
GCCUUUGCGCAGUGGCAGAAUUAGCCAAUGAGGUGUACCCAAGGCAUGAUUAUUGCCAAUUGAAAACAACUGAAAAAGAAUCAACUCUUUCAAGGAAACAGGUAGUGUAGAGAUUUGCAUUUGUAUACAUUUUGUGUAAGA